rnacentral:rRNA from 1 species
CCCUUAGAUGUCCUGGGCCGCACGCGCGCUACACUGAGUGUCUGAGAUAUGAGGCAUGCCUGGUCCGGCAAGGUCUAGGUAAUCACGAAAAGGCACAUCAUGCUUGGGAUUGAUUAUUGCAAAUUUUAAUCAUGAACGAGGAAUUCCUAGUAAGUGCAAGUCAACAGCUUGCGUUGAUUACGUCCCUGCCCUUUGUACACACCGCCCGUCGCUACUACUGAUUGGACGUUUAAGCAAGAUUUUUAAACACUGACAGUGUGUAGUUCACGCUAUACUACAGUGAGAAGAAGAAGAUCGAGCUUACUUGUCUAGAGGAAGUAAAAGUCGUAACA